CCGGACCCGGAUGCUCGGGAGGGAGGGAGGCAGGAGGUCUAGCUGGACGCCCCUGGGCCGCGCUUCCUUCUGAGUCAGGCAGUGGGGAGCUCUGAGGCGCGUGGAAAGGGGCCUGAGAGCAGAGGCCCCUGCAGGGGUGUGACCGGCGGGGCCGUUCUCACAUCUCCGCGUGACCCGGGACAGCUGCGCGUCCACUGGGAAAAAUCAUUCCAACCACUUGCCCGGAAAACAUACCCACUCAACUGUGGCGGUGGCUUCCCGCUGUCACCCCUGCUGCCAGCAGCCCUGGUCACCCCUGCACUGGUGGCCUCACGCCGGCCCUGAGGACCCAGCUACGCCUCUUCUAUAGGUUGUCACAGACCCCGCUGCUCCUCCACCUGCAGACACUGCCCAUUCUGCCAUCUAAGAAAUGGGCAGGUGCUCUUUGGGGGAAUCUGGAUCCUAUGCCUGUACCCCCGCUGCGAGGAGUUUAGGAUGGAGGAAGAUGAAUGAACAUUUGGCCGUAUUAAUGACCCCGUCUAUUUAGUAAGGAAUCAAACACGGCGGAUCCGAUGUAAAUUGUUAUCACGCUUCCCAGGAGAAUAUCUGUAAGGCUGCCUCUGCGCCAUGUGUGAAACUCUAGGCCUCGGAGCAAAGUAGCUGGACCCGUUUCCCCACAUCCUCACUGGUGUCUUGUGGGCGCUGGAUGUGAGCUCUGCAGAGGGGUUUCUGGAAGCUGGACCAGAAACUCUUCACCCACCAGCCCAGAGAGGCAGUGUGCAUUCUCGCGUGCACCUGGACCCCGGGUGGAAAAAUCUUUCCUGAGAAACCGGACGCCAGCCCACUCCACGGACACAUCAGGGGAUACAGAUUCACACCACAUGGAAUCCUAAGCUAAGAAGUUACCGUUUAAUGAGCCCCGG
rnacentral:lncRNA from 12 species